rnacentral:tRNA from 1 species
GCCUGGGUGGCGGAAUAGGCAGACGCAAGGGACUUAAAAUCCCUUGGACCUUGUGUCCGUGCGGGUUCGAUUCCCGCCCCAGGCA